rnacentral:rRNA from 1 species
AUUGAACGCUGGCGGCAGGCCUAACACAUGCAAGUCGAGCGAGCGGCGGACGGGUGAGUAAUGUAUGGGGACUGCCCGAUAGAGGGGGAUAACUACUGGAAACGGUGGCUAAUACCGCAUACUAUCGGAUAACCCAUAUGGGAUUAGCUAGUAGGUGGGGUAAAGGCUACCCUAGGCGACGAUCUCUAGCUGGUCUGAGAGGAUGCUUAGCCACACCUGGACUUAGACACGGGCCAGACUCCUUCGGAGGCAGCAGUGGGGAAUAUUGGACAAUGGGGGCAAGCCUGAUGCAGCCAUGCCGCGUGUAUUAAGAAGGCCUUAGGGUUGUAAAGUACUUUUAUCGGGGAAGCGUUACCCGCAGAAGAAGCACCGGCUAACUCCGUGCCAGCAGCCGCGGUAAUUC